rnacentral:sRNA from 1 species
UAGACUCUAAAUAUUUCAGCAUUAUAUUGAAAUAUCAUACUAGUCUGGCAAAAGGAAGGAACGAAAAAAAGGCAUAUGAACGAUGCCACAUUAUCAACUUCAUUCAGAGUCCAUUGAUCGUCAUUUACUGCAAGAAAUGUGAACUAUAAGAAUAAUAACUCAAAGAAACAGGACAUAAAAGUAAUGCAUAAAUACAAGAAUUUAUAUAGUCAAUAAUCAAUAUAAGUUCUAUUUUUGCCAUAAUCAAUAUAAGUUCUAUUUUGAACAAAAUGAAAAAAAACAAACAGUGCAUUUAGAUAAGUAUUAUUAAGAUCUACGGGAAAAAUAAUUAAUGCAAUGAUCUCAAGAUUAUAAUAAAGACUUAUCUCUUCAUUAGCAUAUACAGAUUAUUAAUUAAAUAUUCAUAAAGAAUGUGUAAUUUCUCAAUAAAAAUUUGUUUGCUACCCCAAUGCUAUUACCACACUCUUUUGGUUCACUAGGAAAGGGAAGAUUGAGUCAAACAUUAAACAAGCAAAAAAAAAAAAAUACUUUUUAAAAAAAACAAAGCUUAUAUUAAGUGUAUUAAUUAGUUUGGAUC